rnacentral:rRNA from 1 species
UACGAAGGGGGCUAGCGUUGCUCGGAAUGACUGGGCGUAAAGGGCGCGUAGGCGGUUUAUGCAGUCGGGCGUGAAAAUUCCUGGGCUCAACCUGGGGGCUGCGCACGAGACGCAUGGACUGGAGUAGGGAAGAGGGUCGUGGAAUUCCCAGUGUAGAGGUGAAAAUUCGUAGAUAUUGGGAAGAACACCGGUGGCGAAGGCGGCGACCUGGUCCUUGACUGACGCUGAGGCGCGAAAGCGUGGGGAGCAAACAGG